CCCUUAGAUGUUCUGGGCCGCACGCGCGCUACACUGAUGCAUUCAACGAGUUUCUUCCUGGUCCGAGAGGAAUGGGUAACCUUUUGAAAGUGCAUCGUGAUAGGGAUAGACUAUUGCAAUUAUUGGUCUUCAACGAGGAAGUCCUAGUAGACGUAGUUCAUCAGACUGCAUCGAUUACGUCCCUGCCCUUUGUACACACCGCCCGUCGCUCCUACCGAUUGAAUGCUCAGGUGAGCCAUUCGGACUUUCAUCAUGCUGGUUUCCAGUUUUGAUGAAGGAAAGUCUUGCGAACCUUAUCAUUUAGAGGAAGGAGAAGUCGUAACA
rnacentral:rRNA from 1 species